UACGUAGGGUGCAAGCGUUUGUCCGGAAUUAUUGGGCGUAAAGAGCUCGUAGGCGGUCUGUUGCGUCGGCUGUGAAAACCCGAGGCUCAACCUCGGGCCUGCAGCCGAUACGGGCAGACUAGAGUUCGGCAGGGGAGACUGGAAUUCCUGGUGUAGCGGUGAAAUGCGCAGAUAUCAGGAGGAACACCGGUGGCGAAGGCGGGUCUCUGGGCCGAUACUGACGUUGGAGGAAGCGAAAAGCGUGGGGGAGCAAACAGG
rnacentral:rRNA from 1 species